GGCUCAGCACCAAAGCUCAGAGAUCAGAACCAGAGUUAUUGUAAGGUCUUGCAGUUGGUUUCUGACCUGCAGCAGGAUGGGAGGAUGCUGUGUGAAAAGCUGGUAACACAAAGCAGGAGCCGGUGCGAAUGGCACAGCAACCUGAAGCUAAAGCACAGACCUCACUGCCAUCUGGUAACACACAUCUCCAGCAAUCUGUAUGUGUGCAAAACGUUUCAUAUUUAUGACUAAUUGUAAGACUCUUCAAGGUUUGUUUUUUCUCCCCAGUUCUUGUGAGCACUGCUGUAUGUAGAAACGAGUACUGGCAGUUCCACGUUCAUAGCUUAGUUUUUCUUUCCCCAUAUGCUCGUUCUUCUACUGGGGUCAACAUACAUGCCUGUGAACAAUGUAUGUUAAUAAGAGACCUCAGUCAUCAGGUCAGAAUGGAACAGCUUCCAACCUGCAGAGAAGUAUUUCAGUAGAGGGAAGAUUACAUACUCGCUUUGCCAGGCAGUGUUACAAACCUGAACACAGAAUACUUCACAGAUUGCCUCCUCCAAAACAAACUUCUUUUCUUCCCCUGGUAGAUGGGCAGUUCUAGAGAUUGAUGCCUAUUUUGCACACAGCUACUGCAGCCAAGCACACACCAGGCUAAUGGCUUCAACUACUACUCCAAUAAUAUAUUUCCCACAUCUUCAACACUUACAAGAGUUCAAAAUUGUCACCUCUUACAUAUUCAGAAAAGCUCCCAUUUAUACUUCGGAUAACCCACUUCAAAUCCAACUUACACACAUUUCAGAAAAGCAUCAGGACCCAACCAGAAAUCUUCCAGUUUGUUCACCCACCCUCACAGCAGAAUUAAUUCUGGGGCAGAACCCAGGAUCUGAGGGUAGAACCCACCAAGCAAGGAACAAUUUCUUGUCUGGCCUUUGGAAAAGAUUACUUAAAAGGAACAAAUGCAACCAUCAACCACCUCUUGCAGAGUCGAUCUCUACCCCCAGAUGAGCAAUAAGCUUUCAAUUGUAGCCUGAUUUUCAUCACUAAUGACUAUGUUACAGUAUUAGUUUAAAAAACAAGUAAAUGGAAGGAGGGGAUACGUAUCCAGCUAACAAGUGUCAUAUACAAUCAGCAACAGGAAGAAAAGCCACUGUUCAGACAUCCAGGAAACAUUCUAGAGUCUGUACACAAGUCACUUUCAUGCAACUUGAUCUUUCUUUUUUAGUAAACACCCAAUGCAAAUAUGGGACUGGAUUCCUUCUAUUUAAACUGCUGACUUUCAAUGACGCCGCCUGAGGCAGAAUGCAUGAAGAUGUACCAGUGAUGUAAAUUACAUGUCAUUCUGGGCACACGUGUAUCUUUUUUCAUGUGGCAGCUCAUAUACUGGCACUGCAUUUCAGCUAAAAUGCUAGGUAGGCUCAACGUUUCAGCCUAGAAGUACUCAGACUACAAGCUGAACAAGGAGUCUCUUAUUACUAGUCUGACUCCUUCCUGAAUAAGCACAAUGCACUCUGAGGCCACACCUAACAAUAAGCCACCACUACAUAACACUGGUCAGCAAUCAUUUCUACCAAGAAAUAAGAAUUUAUUUAAAACAAACAAUCGUUUUAUUUAACAACUCAUUUAUUAACGCUGGAAAAUACUGCAGUUUUAUCCAUUUUCCUAUUUAGAGGCAAUUUACUCAUAGUAUCUGCAAUUUUUAGCUGAAGUUGAAAGUGAUACUCUUAACCCAAAAAACAGACAUAGCUUUAACGUCCUUGAAAGGGUACACAUGCUUUUUCUUUAUUAGUUACUCACUGAAAAACCGAGAGGUAUUUACAUUUAUGUCUACUGUAGAAAUAGUAUAAAUUUUAUAAGCCUUAACUAAGUACCUCUGCCAAUCUGGUUAGUUUUCUGUAUCAAGUACUCAUGUCUGAGCAUUACUCUCGUGUGUGCUGGCAAAUCAGCACACAGAUAGGUUAAAAA